UACGAAGGGUGCAAGCGUUACUCGGAAUUACUGGGCGUAAAGCGUGCGUAGGUGGUUUUUUAAGUCCGUUGUGAAAGCCCUGGGCUCAACCUGGGAAUGGCAGUGGAUACUGGAAAGCUAGAGUGCGGUAGAGGGUAGUGGAAUUCCCGGUGUAGCAGUGAAAUGCGUAGAGAUCGGGAGGAACACCAGUGGCGAAGGCGGCCGGCUGGGGGUGACCUGACGCUGAGGCGCGAAAGCGUGGGGAGCGAACCGG
rnacentral:rRNA from 1 species